GACAGAGGGUGCAAACGUUGUUCGGAUUUACUGGGCGUAAAGCGCGUGUAGGCGGCUUGGCAAGUUGAAUGUGAAAGCCCACGGCUCAACCGUGGAAGCGCAUCCAAAACUGCUUCGCUGGAGUCUCGGAGAGGAAGGUGGAAUGCUUGGUGUAGAGGUGAAAUUCGUAGAUAUCAAGCAGAACACCUGCGGCGAAGGCGGCCUUCUGGACGAUGACUGACGCUGAGACGCGAAAGCGUGGGGAGCAAACAGG
rnacentral:rRNA from 1 species